rnacentral:rRNA from 1 species
AUUGAACGCUGGCGGCAGGCUUAACACAUGCAAGUCGAGCGGGGGAAGGUAGCUUGCUACCGGACCUAGCAGCGGACGGGUGAGUAAUGCUUAGGAAUCUGCCUAUUAGUGGGGGACAACAUCUCGAAAGGGAUGCUAAUACCGCAUACGUCCUACGGGAGAAAGCAGGGGAUCUUCGGACCUUGCGCUAAUAGAUGAGCCUAAGUCAGAUUAGCUAGUUGGUGGGGUAAAGGCCUACCAAGGCGACGAUCUGUAGCGGGUCUGAGAGGAUGAUCCGCCACACUGGGACUGAGACACGGCCCAGACUCCUACGGGAGGCAGCAGUGGGGAAUAUUGGACAAUGGGGGGAACCCUGAUCCAGCCAUGCCGCGUGUGUGAAGAAGGCCUUAUGGUUGUAAAGCACUUUAAGCGAGGAGGAGGCUACUUUAGUUAAUACCUAGAGAUAGUGGACGUUACUCGCAGAAUAAGCACCGGCUAACUCUGUGCCAGCAGCCGCCGUAA